UACGGGGGGAGCAAGCGUUGUUCGGAUUUACUGGGCGUAAAGGGCGCGUAGGCGGCGUGACAAGUCACUUGUGAAAUCUCCGGGCUUAACUCGGAACGGUCAAGUGAUACUGUCGUGCUAGAGUACAGAAGGGGCAACUGGAAUUCUCGGUGUAGCGGUGAAAUGCGUAGAUAUCGAGAGGAACACCUGCGGCGAAGGCGGGUUGCUGGGCUGAUACUGACGCUGAGGCGCGAAAGCCAGGGGGAGCGAACGGGG
rnacentral:rRNA from 1 species